ACGGAAAAUAGUAAUUUUCUACAAAAGUUUCAGUCCCAAGAUAUAUACAUUUAAGAAAUUAAGCAUUUUUUUUAUAAUUUGUGAUUGUUUACCUUUAUGAUUUUCUUUCUUUUGUUUAUUAUUUUAAUUUGUUUGUUACCACCAGAACGUUUAACAAUAACCAUUUUCAAGAUUUUAAAGGGUCGCUUUUAUCAGACUUUAUCUCGUUUCAUAUCUUGUAAUUGAUUUGUAUUCUAAUAUUUUUUACGGUGCUACCGUUGUGGUGAACGCAGCUAGCAAGAAUUAAACAUACCUUGUUGCAUCAUUGACAUGUUAUUUAGUUAUCAACUAUAAAAAGAAUUUGAGAGAGAGAGAGAGAGAGAGAGAGAGAGAGAGAGAGAAUUUUAAGAUUUUAAAGUUAAAAAAUUCUUUACUAUUGGGUAGAAUUGAUCAGUCUGGCAAAACGUAAUUUGUGUUUGAUUUGAUCAAAACUGUUAACGAUAAAUACAGUAUUUUUGGGGGGUACCUUGAUGUAAUCUGAAUUUUAUUUUUAUCUUUCUGGUUCAUAAUUUUUUUUAUUUGUUUAUUUUUGCAUUCUUAUUACAUACGCUGUAUCCGUGUCCCCGGUACCUGUUUGUAGUUGUGUAAUUUCCCAUUAUCCAAUUUGAUGGUUUGACAAUAUGCAAUAUUUGUAUAGAUUUUCCAACUGUUUAUUUUUUUUCUCUUUGUUCUUUUUUGUUUAGUUCAAAAUGACAUUUUUUAUCUUCCCUACUUAUAUUUACUGAACAUGCAUGCAAAAUUAGCAUAAUUGGAUCGCCAUUCGAUAUGACAAUAAAGUAUGGCUCUUGCU
rnacentral:sRNA from 1 species